CUCAAUUAUUUCAGAGAUAUGCAAAAUUCCCAUUUCAAUCUUCUUCGUUAUAGAGACUUCAAACCUAACCUAAGGUUCCCAAGAAAUCAUCAUCCACAUCAAAAUCCAUCAUCUACUUACCUCGUUUUCCUUUUAUUUCCACAAUUUAUGUCCGAAAAUCCAUUCUACAAUCUCUAAUUUACACAUUUUCGGGAUUGCUUUCGCAUAUAUGGAACCAUAGCAAAGUUAACAACACCGGUAAAAGGCAAAUCGACAAUGUUGCGGGUGACUCGAGCGCUGAGAAGAAGAAAAUGGUGAGACUGCAUACAUAUCAAGCAAGAAAG
rnacentral:lncRNA from 1 species